rnacentral:lncRNA from 1 species
ACAUCACCAAGUUAUAGUCCCACUUCUCCGAGCUACAGUCCCACAUCGCCAGUUUAUAGUCCGACCUCUCCAGCAUACAGCCCAACAUCUCCUGCAUACAGCCCGACAUCUCCAUCAUACAGCCCGACAUCGCCAUCAUACAGCCCUACUUCACCUUCAUACAGCCCUACCUCUCCAUCUUACAGCCCUACGUCUCCAUCAUACAGCCCUACGUCUCCUUCAUACAGCCCUACGUCUCCAUCAUACAGCCCGACAUCGCCCUCGUACAGCCCGACAUCGCCUGCAUACAGCCCGACAUCGCCUGGAUACAGCCCAACAUCGCCGAG